rnacentral:rRNA from 1 species
GAUGAACGCUGGCGGCGUGCCUAACACAUGCAAGUCGAGCGAUUCUCUUUGGAGAAGAGCGGCGGACGGGUGAGUAACGCGUGGGUAACCUGCCCUGUACACACGGAUAACAUACCGAAAGGUAUGCUAAUACGAGAUAAUAUGCUUUUAUCGCAUGGUAGAAGUAUCAAAGCUCCGGCGGUACAGGAUGGACCCGCGUCUGAUUAGCUAGUUGGUAAGGUAACGGCUUACCAAGGCGACGAUCAGUAGCCGACCUGAGAGGGUGAUCGGCCACAUUGGAACUGAGACACGGUCCAAACUCCUACGGGAGGCAGCAGUGGGGAAUAUUGCACAAUGGGCGAAAGCCUGAUGCAGCAACGCCGCGUGAGCGAUGAAGGCCUUCGGGUCGUAAAGCUCUGUCCUCAAGGAAGAUAAUGACGGUACUUGAGGAGGAAGCCCCGGCUAACUACGUGCCAGCAGCCGCCGUAAAAC